AUUGAACGCUGGCGGCAGGCCUAACACAUGCAAGUCGAGCGGGGUUUUCGGACCUAGCGGCGGACGGGUGAGUAAUGCGUAGGAAGCUACCCGAUAGAGGGGGAUACCAGUUGGAAACGACUGUUAAUACCGCAUAAUGUCUACGGACCAAAGUGUGGGACCUUCGGGCCACAUACUAUCGGAUGCGCCUACGUGGGAUUAGCUAGUUGGUGAGGUAAUGGCUGACCAAGGCGACGAUCCCUAGCUGGUUUGAGAGGAUGAUCAGCCACACUGGAACUGAGACACGGUCCAGACUCCUACGGGAGGCAGCAGUGGGGAAUAUUGGACAAUGGGCGCAAGCCUGAUCCAGCCAUGCCGCGUGUGUGAAGAAGGUCUUCGGGUUGUAAAGCACUUUCAGUAGGGAGGAAGCGUUGUGUGUUAAUAGUACACAGCGUUGACGUUACCUACAGAAGAAGCACCGGCUAACUCUGUGCCAGCCGCCGCUGUAAAAC
rnacentral:rRNA from 1 species